GAGCCAGACUCCUACGGGAGGCAGCAGUGAGGAAUAUUGGUCAAUGGCCGGAAGGCUGAACCAGCCAAGCCGCGUGAAGGACGAAGGUGCCAAGCAUUGUAAACUUCUUUUGUCAAGGGACAAAAUCAGGCUCGAGAGCCUGACCGAGGGUACUUGAAGAAAAAGCAUCGGCUAACUCCGUGCCAGCAGCCGCGGUAAUACGGAGGAUGCGAGCGUUAUCCGGAUUUAUUGGGUUUAAAGGGUGCGUAGGCGGGGUUUUAAGUCGGUGGUAAAACCCCGGGGCUCAACCCCGGCGAGCCGUUGAAACUGGCUGUCUUGAGAUGUCGAGAGGUAUGCGGAAUGCGCAGUGUAGCGGUGAAAUGCUUAGAUAUUGCGCAGAACUCCGAUUGCGAAGGCAGCAUACCGGCGCGCAACUGACGCUCAUGCACGAAAGCGUGGGUAUCGAACAGGAUUAGAUACCCCGGUAU
rnacentral:rRNA from 1 species